UACGAAGGGUGCAAGCGUUAAUCGGAAUUACUGGGCGUAAAGCGUGCGUAGGCGGUUUGUUAAGUCUGUUGUGAAAUCCCCGGGCUCAACCUGGGAAUGGCAAUGGAUACUGGCAAGCUAGAGUGUGUCGGAGGAUGGUGGAAUUCCCGGUGUAGCGGUGAAAUGCGUAGAGAUCGGGAGGAACAUCAGUGGCGAAGGCGGCCAUCUGGGACAACACUGACGCUGAGGCACGAAAGCGUGGGGAGCAAACAGG
rnacentral:rRNA from 1 species